AUACGGAGGGUCCAAGCGUUAUCCGGAAUCAUUGGGUUUAAAGGGUCCGCAGGCGGUCAAUUAAGUCAGAGGUGAAAGCCCAUCGCUCAACGAUGGAACUGCCUUUGAUACUGGUUGACUUGAGUUAUACGGAAGUAGAUAGAAUAAGUAGUGUAGCGGUGAAAUGCAUAGAUAUUACUUAGAAUACCGAUUGCGAAGGCAGUCUACUACGUAUAUACUGACGCUGAGGGACGAAAGCGUGGGGAGCGAACAGAAUUAGAAACCCUAGUAGUCC
rnacentral:rRNA from 1 species